rnacentral:rRNA from 1 species
CCUACGGGCGGCAGCAGUAGGGAAUCUUCGGCAAUGGACGAAAGUCUGACCGAGCAACGCCGCGUGAGUGAAGAAGGUUUUCGGAUCGUAAAACUCUGUUGGUAGAGAAGAACGUUGGUGAGAGUGGAAAGCUCAUCAAGUGACGGUAACUACCCAGAAAGGGACGGCUAACUACGUGCCAGCAGCCGCGGUAAUACGUAGGUCCCGAGCGUUGUCCGGAUUUAUUGGGCGUAAAGCGAGCGCAGGUGGUUUAUUAAGUCUGGUGUAAAAGGCAGUGGCUCAACCAUUGUAUGCAUUGGAAACUGGUAGACUUGAGUGCAGGAGAGGAGAGUGGAAUUCCAUGUGUAGCGGUGUAAUGCGUAGAUAUAUGGAGGAACACCGGUGGCGAAUGCGGCUCUCUGGCCUGUAACUUACACUGAGGCUCGAAAGCGUGGUGAGCAAACAGGAUUAGAUACCCGUGUAGUC